CCGAAAUGGGAGACGCGGAGGAGACAUUACCGAGUUUACAACUCCCAAACCCAUGUGAACAUACCUACUGUUGCUUCGGCGGGAUUGCCCCGGGCGCCUCGUGUGCCCCGGAUCAGGCGCCCGCCUAGGAAACUCAACUCUUGUUUUAUUUUGGAAUCUUCUGAGUAGUUUUUACAAAUAAAUAAAAACUUUCAACAACGGAUCUCUUGGUUCUGGCAUCGAUGAAGAACGCAGCGAAAUGCGAUAAGUAAUGUGAAUUGCAGAAUUCAGUGAAUCAUCGAAUCUUUGAACGCACAUUGCGCCCGCCAGUAUUCUGGCGGGCAUGCCUGUCUGAGCGUCAUUUCAACCCUCAUGCCCCUAGGGCGUGGUGUUGGGGAUCGGCCAAAGCCCGCGAGGGACGGCCGGCCCCUAAAUCUAGUGGCGGACCCGUCGUGGCCUCCCCUGCGAAGUAGUGAUAUUCCGCAUCGGAGAGCGACGAGCCCCUGCCGUUAAACCCCCAACUUUCCAAGGUUGACCUCAGAUCAGGUAGGAAUACCCGCUGAACUUAAGCAUAUCAUAAGGCCGGAAGAA
rnacentral:rRNA from 1 species